rnacentral:misc_RNA from 1 species
AUUUUACGAAACUCAACCCUUAAGGGGGUGAAACGGGGGUUGGAAGUUUGUAUGAAAGUCUUAUGUUUUUGAAGUAAGAGACUUGAAAAUUAAAAUGUAUGCUCUAUAUAAGAUGAGAAGGUGUCCAAAUAAUUUAUCUUUAGAAAUCAACUCUUUUUUGGGGUUUAAAACGGGGGAUGGUAGGUUGAUUCAGUUAUCACGAAAUCUCCGAAACUAUAACAGCUACAAAUUUAAAAUCUACAAGUAGGUUUCUUAUAGGACGUAGACAUCCGCUAAGAA